GGGGGGGGGUUAACAGGUGGACAGUCAUGAUCUGUGUGUGUGGACUAGAAUAUCUCCGACCUUUUAUGCCAAGCAAGGGCACAAGGUCUGCUUCUCAGACAUAUCAAAAGGCUAGAACAAUGUUUUACAAAUUACAAGUUUGAGUAAGCUUGGCUUAAAUAGUAACUAAACUAACCAAUCAACCUGUCUGCUUUAAAACAGCAAAAUAAUCAAUAUUAUGUUUUUUUUUUAUUCCUGGAAUGUGUAAAUAGGAUUAUUGUGGAUAAAAAGUCAGUCUUGUCCAAAGCAGAGUGUUAUCACAGAUAAAGUUGUACUUCACAGAUGAUGUCCCAGAACAUGUGUGCAGCUGGCAGGCACUCAAUUACUCAAGUAAGCUAAACGUAAUUGUUGAAAGAAUAAACAAGGAACAUUUAAUUUGGCUACUUGCAUUUUCCCCCCCUCUCUUCAUCUCCUCAGAACCCUUUGAAGAAGAACAAAAGUGUGGAGGGACCUCUGACUUUUUCCAUUCAGUGCAUUUUGAGAAGGAUACAAGGAGAGACAAUGCAAUGACUCACUCUCCAUGGCCCAGAAUCUUGGUACUGUGUCUAGGAUUCGGCCUCAUUAUGUUCGCAGCUAACUGCAAGGCAGAUACUUCACCGCUGCCUCAUGAGGUGCCACCCGGUUCAGAGGUCACGUUUGACAUUGAAUCACAGUGAUCAACAACAUCAGGGUGCUUAAACCCGUGACCCCACGGUUAGAUCCAAUUCUGCCACCAGUGAUGACCACAUCUGGCGUACCACCAUAAAUGGAUCCAUGAACAGGCAGACUACCACCAUCACUGACGCUUGACCUCUGCAAAGGAUUCAGAAUACUGUUCUGUUUUCAGACGACUCCCACAGAACGCUGCAGUGAAAGCUUCGUAAUUCCGGGAAGGAUGAGGUCAAGACACCUUUUCUGGGAAAUAGUUUUUUUUAUUUCUAAACUUCUGCUGAAAAACAGCAGCAAUAAACCGUGAAAUCAUGUUACUUUCCGAAGUGUACUCCUUUGGUCGUCUUUCUGUCAGAAUUCCAAAUAUCACACCAGAACGUCCCAAGCCACUUGACCUGCAGCUGAAUCAGUUGGUGACAUGCGUGGAUACUCACAACUCACGGUUAUUGUUUGAAAUGCAGAUAGGGCCAGCUGCCAUUUGCCAUGGAAAUGCCGUUCCUCUUGCCCAAGCUUGAGAUUACCCUGAAUGAAGACCUGUAACUGCUUGGUGGUGGAUGAUGUUUUUUUUCAAAGCCUGAGCCCAAUCUGAAGAAUGCCUGGAUCAAGAGCUUCUUGAGCUGCUUUUCUCAACCAGCUUUCCCUAACUGAAGAGAUCCUACUUCUCCCAGAGCAGAUCUUUUUUUUUUUUUUCAACUGGCACUGACACAGCCCCUUGAAUUGGUAAGCAUAUUUAAAGUCAACAUUUUCUUUUCUGUUUCUACAUGUUUUGCGGUAAAGCUAGAGUCUAUGCAUUUUGAUACCUGUGUGGAAUCAGUCAAAUUUCUUUUGCAUAUCCGUCUAGCCCCACCACAGAAUCUUCGUAGCUGGAAGCUUCGGUGAGAGGUUAAACGAGGAGGGUAAGUUAAGAGAUUCACGCCCGGAGCGACAACAGACAGGUGUGAGAUUAAGACACAUUGCAUCAGAGCAGACAGAGAUACCCCGGGUUUCUUGUGGCAGGGGUGGUGCUGACGCGUGAGGCUCCCACUAGAUUAGCUGUGCCUCCGGCUUCCACCCACCUCCACCUCUCCAAAUCAGAUCAGUGCAUCUCCGCCCGCGACGGAGAAACAGCCUCUCUCCUUUUCAUCCCUCUCCGGCGCUAUUGAUUUUAGUGUGUUGACCUGCUUGAGGAUCCAGUACCGG
ensembl:lncRNA